rnacentral:sRNA from 1 species
UGUCAAAUGUAAUUUACUACUAGGGUC